rnacentral:tRNA from 1 species
ACCUGGUUGGCUGAGUCAGUAGAUCAUAAGACUUUUGAUCAUAUGGAUUGUGAGUUCAAGCCCCACACUGGGUG